rnacentral:rRNA from 1 species
UACAGAGGGGGCAAGCGUUGCUCGGAAUUACUGGGCGUAAAGGGCGCGUAGGCGGCCUUCUAAGUCGAACGUGAAAUCCCCGGGCCCAACCCGGGAACUGCGUCCGAUACUGGAUGGCUUGAGUUCGGGAGAGGGAUGUGGAAUUCCAGGUGUAGCGGUGAAAUGCGUAGAUAUCUGGAGGAACACCGGUGGCGAAGGCGGCAUCCUGGACCGACACUGACGCUGAGGAGCGAAAGCCAGGGGAGCAAACGGG